GGAGUCUCCGAGGUGGCGUUGGGUGGGGGCGCUACUAGCUCCCGUUCUCUCAGCGUCUCUAGAGGGAAGGGCGCCGGUGGGAGCAGGAGAGUCUGCACCGGGCAGGCCUCCUUAGGUGCCGGGUUGCGCGCAGGGCCCUGUGCUUGUCUCGCCUCCGGUUGGCUCAGGCCUCGGAGCAUGAGUGCGCCGGCAACUGCUGGGCCCGGGACAGUGAAGCAGAGGAGGAGGUGGGGGAGGCGAGCCCAGGUCGGGGAAGGGCAGCACCUGAAUCACCCUUGGGGCCCAGACCCCCAAGAGUCUCCGGGGAGCCGAGGCCUGGCGAGGCAGUCCCGGGAUUCGCCCCCUCCCCGCUGGCCCGAGGGCGCACCACGUGCUGGGCAGAGACUUCGGCGAGGCCGAGUGGACCCUGCAGCGCUGCUUGGGAAAGGGCACCUUGGACUACCUGGUGGGGGCGUUGUGCUUCGUUACCGACCGCCGGGACGCCAACCCACGGUGCCCACCCGUGCGUCAUUCCGCUGUGGAUCAGCCCUUUGGCGGCCCCCCUCCAAAGUCUACAAGGUCACACGGAUGUCUGCAGGCAGAGCUGCUUCCGGCUCCCUGAGACCCAGCCAUGGAAGGCAUAGAAAGGCAUGUGACAAGAAACUCAUGGCUUUUAAUCCUGGCAGGACAAGGAAAACCCCGUCAAAGAUUUGCAUAAAUUUUGCUGCUCUCCUGCUGGGGGGGGGGGGGGGGCAGUUCGUCACAUUUAAUAAAAUUCUCUCCCUCCCUUCUCCCGACUGCAUUAUCUCAUAUUUAUUUAUUUGAGACAGUCUGGCUCUGUCGCCCAGGCUGGAGUGCAGUGGCGCGAUCUUGGCUUAGUGGCGCGAUGACGGCUCACUGCAACCUCCACCUCCUGGGUUCAAGCAGUUCUGCCUCAGCCUCCCAAGUAGCUGGGAUUACAGGCCAGCUGGGAUUACGCCGCCACACCUGGCUAAUUGUAUUUUUAGUAGAGACAGGGUUUCACCAUGUUGGCCAGGCUGGUCUCAAACUCCUGACCUCCAGUGAUCCACCUGCCUCAGCCUCCCAAAGUGCUGGGAUUACAGGCAUGAGCCGUCAUGCCCGGCUUUCUUUUUGUUCUUCAAGAAAGGGAAGGAAAAUAACAUUGUCUUUGAGCCAGUUGCGUGUCGAGGAAAUAAGGGUACCCCCCCACCACACCCCAACCCCCUCAGUGCCCUGGGGUUUGAAGCAAAUGCUCAGAGGGCCUGGUAGGCGGAUGGGCGUCUCCGGAUGAUGCAGAAAGCAAUAAGCACCAGGGCGAGGAGGCCAAGAAGGAUCAGGCCGAUGAUGAGAGGCAGCAAGAUGGACCGGUCACUGGGGCAGGAGAAACCUGGCGGAAGGAUAGGGCAGGUAGGUAUUUGCAGUGACGUGCUGGUUGGGAUAAAGGUGGGAGGAGGGAAUGGGGGGAUGCUGG
rnacentral:lncRNA from 1 species